UUCUUUAAAUUCUUGUCUUAACUUAUUAAAUUCCGAUUAAUUAGUUAAAGACCGCUUAAAAUCAAAUCAAGUUUUCAAAAUUUAAAAAAAAAUAUAUUCUUUGAUAAUCGAGAUUACUUAUUCACUAAGAAAGACCAUGAUUAGCGUCGAAAUGAUUUUGUGACGUUACGAUUAAAUUCUUAGAAUUUUUCGAAAAAUCGAAAACCAGACGAUCGAUCACCGCGAGACUUGUUUCGGCGUAUGCCCGUACCAAUUCCUACACUCACCCACACUAGAAUAUUUUUCCUCCUCCUCUCCCUCUCUCUGCCAUCUCUCUGUCUCUCACCCGAGCACACCCCUCUCUCUCUUUUCUUCUCCUUUCCAGCCUAUUGCCCUGCAAAAGAAAAAAAAACCCAGCUGGCAACAGCUUUCUCCAGCUGCCACCAGCUAGCUCCAGCCCAAAUUCCAGCCAUCCACCACCACCUCCGGCCAUCUCUCUCCUCUCCUUUUCUCUCCAAACCUCUAUAAAUACCACCCUUCCCCUCUCCAUCCGAACCACAGCAAACUCAACCCUCUCUCACCCUUUUGUGUGACCAUAAACCAGUAGAGAAAUUAGAAGAGAGACCGAGUUCCGGCCAUGGCCGUUUAGAGAGAGAAAUCGAGAAAUAAAAGUGGGUUUUCCACUUGCACCACCUCUUAAUCCGAAUUACCACUUCCAAACAUCCAUAACCACCUCAAGCAACUCAGGACCCUCCUCCAAUACCCCAGAGCCGAGCCGAUCAGCCGUGCUCCGGUCGUUUCUCCGGCAAACCGAAAAUUUCAAAAAAAAAAAAACUCGUUUAAAACUUGUUUUGAUCAAACCGAAGGUAUGUACCUCUUCUCCUACUCUCCCUAAGUAUAAUAGAGUGGUUUUGAUGAGUUAAAAGGGCUUCAAAUGAGCACGAACAAAAAAAAAAAAAAAAAACAGAAAGCUUACUGUUCGUUUUCUGCCAGAUUCACCAUUCUGAUAUUAUUUCUGGUCCCGACUAUCUAUUUGAUAUUAUUUAUGUAGACGAUGACCCUUUUGAUAUUUAUUUUAAAAUCUUUAUGAUAUUAUUAUUAUGAAAAACUACUGACCUGAUAUUAUUUUAUGACGGAAUAAUAUCAGUUUAGUAUAAAACGUGAUAAUUAUAUCACUUUGAUUUAUCUAAUAGAUUAAGUGGAUAAUUAGUAAUAUUUUUGUAAAAAAAAAAGGGAUUUGGAUUAUAGGUAUGCUCAAAUUCCUCUUACUAAUUGAUAAAUACAAAUAAUAUGUAAAAAAAAAAUAUUUUAAAUUAAUACUUUUAUUUAAUUUAAAAGAAAAGGAAAUUUGUAGAUAAAAAGUAUUUAUAAUAUUAGUUUAAUAUUAUUAUAAGUAAUAACCAUCCUUGUGAUAAUUAUUGUAAAAAAAAAUUUUAUUUUAAACUAUCUAAUAAUAUGUGGAUUAUUUUAUAAAAUCGUAAUAAUUAUUAAUUUGUCAUUAAAAAUUAAAAUCGUAAUAAUUAUUAAUUUGUCAUUGAAGAUUAAAAUCGUAAUAAUUAUUAAUUUAUUAUUAAAGAUUAAAAUGGUAAUAAUUAUUAAAUUGUUAUUAAAGAUUAAAAUAGUAAUAAUUCUUAAUUUGUGAUUAUAGAUUAUAAAAUUGUGGAAACGAAUUUCAUGGAUUUCAAUAAAGUUGUUAUUGCCUUAUUGUUACUACGUGAACGUAGAAAUUAGACAAUAGGUACCCCGGGUGGUAUUCGUACGUUGGAAUAAAUUGAUUAGACGUUAAAUCCCUAAGGAAAGUGAAAUUAUUGUUUAUAGUCACAGUUGUGACGUUACGGUCAGGAGAUAACCAGAGUGGCCGAGGACCGUGGGUUUCCUGAAAGAAUGGUCGUCGGUAUCGGCACUAGUGGUUUAAGACCGGUGGAUUAUCAUCUUGCGAACCCUGAAUAUGGCACUGUUGGAUUUAUCUUCCGGAUACUCCGGGGGUGGAUUUAUUGGAUGAAACCGGAGUAUGGGUAUCAUUUCUCGCGGUUGGUUGGUUAUCAUUCGCUCCUUGUGAUGGUACAGCCGAGUUCGACCCGACAUGUAGUUUGGUCUUAUUCGUCUGGGACCCCAGGCUGGGCAAGCAAGGGGAGGAUAAAUCGGCAGAGUCGCCAUAGUUCAGAGGUUGUUUGGGAGGAUUAUUUCUCAUGGUAGAGAAAUCUAGAAAACACUUAAGGACAAGAUAAUUCAUAAUAUGCUCCUAAUUGCUGUAACUUUAUUAUUCAUGCUCAUUAUUAUAUUAAUGCUUGUAUGUACCUCUUCUCCUACUCUCCCUAAGUAUAAUAGAGUGGUUUUGAUGAGUUAAAAGGGCUUCAAAUGAGCACGAACAAAAAAAAAAAAAAAAAACAGAAAGCUUACUGUUCGUUUUCUGCCAGAUUCACCAUUCUGAUAUUAUUUCUGGUCCCGACUAUCUAUUUGAUAUUAUUUAUGUAGACGAUGACCCUUUUGAUAUUUAUUUUAAAAUCUUUAUGAUAUUAUUAUUAUGAAAAACUACUGACCUGAUAUUAUUUUAUGACGGAAUAAUAUCAGUUUAGUAUAAAACGUGAUAAUUAUAUCACUUUGAUUUAUCUAAUAGAUUAAGUGGAUAAUUAGUAAUAUUUUUGUAAAAAAAAAAGGGAUUUGGAUUAUAGGUAUGCUCAAAUUCCUCUUACUAAUUGAUAAAUACAAAUAAUAUGUAAAAAAAAAAUAUUUUAAAUUAAUACUUUUAUUUAAUUUAAAAGAAAA